UUGGAAAAAAAAUGUAACAAGGUUUCCGUAGGUGAACCUGCGGAAGGAUCAUUACCGAGUUGAUUCGAGCUCCGGCUCGACUCUCCCACCCCAUGUGUACCUACCUCUGUUGCUUUGGCGGGCCGCGGUCCUCCGCACCGACCCCCGUUCGGGGGCCGGCCAGCGCCCGCCAGAGGACCACAAAACUCCAGUCAGUAAACGUCGCAGUCUGAGAAACAAGUUAAUAAACUAAAACUUUCAACAACGGAUCUCUUGGUUCUGGCAUCGAUGAAGAACGCAGCGAAAUGCGAUAAGUAAUGUGAAUUGCAGAAUUCAGUGAAUCAUCGAAUCUUUGAACGCACAUUGCGCCCCUUGGUAUUCCGAGGGGCAUGCCUGUUCGAGCGUCAUUUCAACCCUCAAGCUCUGCUUGGUAUUGGGCUCCGUCCUCCGCGGACGCGCCUCGAAGACCUCGGCGGUGGCGUCUUGCCUCAAGCGUAGUAGAAAACACCUCGCUUUGGAGCGCAUGGCGUCGCCCGCCGGACGAACCUUUGAAUUUUUCUCAAGGUUGACCUCGGAGUCAGGUAGGGAUACCCGCUGAACUUAAGCAUAUCAAUAAGCGGAGGAA
rnacentral:rRNA from 1 species